rnacentral:rRNA from 1 species
UACGUAGGGCGCAAGCGUUAUCCGGAAUUAUUGGGCGUAAAGAGCUCGUAGGCGGUUUGUCGCGUCUGCCGUGAAAGCCCGGGGCUCAACUCCGGAACUGCCUUUAAAACUGCAUCGCUUGAAUCCAGGAGAGGUGAGUGGAAUUCCGAGUGUAGAGGUGAAAUUCGUAGAUAUUCGGAAGAACACCCGUGGCGAAGGCGGCUCUCUGGGACGGUACUGACGCUGAGACGCGAAAGCGUGGGGAGCGAACAGG